UACGGGGGGGGCAAGCGUUGUUCGGAAUUACUGGGCGUAAAGGGCUCGUAGGUGGCCAACUAAGUCAGACGUGAAAUCCCCAGGCUCAACUUGGGAACUGCGUCUGAUACUGGAUGGCUUGAGUUUGGGAGAGGGAUGCGGAAUUCCAGGUGUAGCGGUGAAAUGCGUAGAUAUCUGGAGGAACACCGGUGGCGAAGGCGGCAUCCUGGACCAACACUGACACUGAGGAGCGAAAGCCAGGGGAGCAAACGGG
rnacentral:rRNA from 1 species